UAUGCAGAGUGCAUUGAUCAGCUCAUGAAAACAGGUUGAUUUCACACUGCUCCAUAGCUCAGGGCUAAGCUCUAAAGUGGGUGAUAAUAUAGCGAUUUUCAGGCGAGCAGGACUUGAUUUGGUUGAUGAAUUAGUUUAGUGCUCUGAAAAGUUAUUGGGUAAGCCAGUCUUGUGCAGCAAGUUGUGAAUAUUUAAUGUAUAAAAUAACUUUUGUUAUUGAGCUGGGAUUUUAGCUGCAGCUGUGCGGGUGUAAUUGCACCUCCUGUGUUGUUCUAUAGAUACAUUAGUGGAAAAAAAAUAAAAAUAAAUAAAAAUCAUCGUAUCUGUCUUAGUCAUUCAUUAUGGGUAGAAUCUUGAAAUCUUGUAGGAUACACCUGGGUAAAUGUUUUGAAAUUUGCAUAUAUAUUGCUUGAAGCCAACAUUAUUUAACAUUAAGUGGUUGUGUUUGUUUGAGACUGUGAAUAUCACUUGAUUUGUGCUCUUUUUUGUUUUGUUUUCAAGGAACAAUGUCAACAGAAACUUUAAGCAGGGAAACGGAAUCUGCCUGUUUUAUCAGAGCAGUCACUCAGGGAAACCCACUCUCAUCUGACUCAGGCACAAUGGCGUCAUCCUCCUCUCAGCCCAUCCCAGGAUGUCUGGUCGUCUGUGUCUACGUGUCAGGCAACCUGUCGUUGCUUGGGGAGUUUAGUCCUCCAAUCCUAUUGUACAUACAGUUAAGAACCGGAGAAUUGCUUCAAACGUUAAUAGGGAGGUGGUUAAUCUGGACCUUAUGCUUGACUAUAAUUAGGAUUCAGGUCCUUCUGAUGGCUAACAGACGUCCAACUCCAAGAAAACUCAUCAAGUGUUUUAUGUCAGCUGGAAUUACCAAUGUUUUUCUAUUUGCCAAAUAUCAUAAUAAUGAGAGAAAGAAUUUGCCAAAUGUAUAUGUUCAUGUGUUCAAAAUCAGAAAUGCACACACAUUUUAUCAGUGUUUGACUGCAUUUGAACUGUAAGACUUUGGUCAAAUAUUUUGAGUUUCCUUCCACAA